GACGAACCGUGCGAACGUUAUUCGGAAUCACUGGGCUUAAAGCGCGUGUAGGCGGGCCGGCACGUCGGUCGCUGAAAUCCCCCGGCUCAACCGGGGAACGGGCGCCGAUACGACCGCCCUGGAGGGACGUAGGGGGACCUGGAACUUCCGGUGGAGCGGUGAAAUGCGUUGAGAUCGGAAGGAACGCCCGUGGCGAAAGCGAGGUCCUGGACGUCUGCUGACGCUGAGACGCGAAAGCCAGGGGAGCGAACGGG
rnacentral:rRNA from 1 species